rnacentral:rRNA from 1 species
GAUGAACGCUGGCGGCGUGCCUAAUACAUGCAAGUCGAGCGAACAGACGAGGAGCUUGCUCCUCUGACGUUAGCGGCGGACGGGUGAGUAACACGUGGAUAACCUACCUAUAAGACUGGGAUAACUUCGGGAAACCGGAGCUAAUACCGGAUAAUAUAUUGAACCGCAUGGUUCAAUAGUGAAAGACGGUUUUGCUGUCACUUAUAGAUGGAUCCGCGCCGCAUUAGCUAGUUGUUAAGGUAACGGCUUACCAAGGCAACGAUGCGUAGCCGACCUGAGAGGGUGUUCGGCCACACUGGAACUGAGACACGGUCCAGACUCCUACGGGAGGCAGCAGUAGGGAAUCUUCCGCAAUGGGCGAAAGCCUGACGGAGCAACGCCGCGUGAGUGAUGAAGGUCUUCGGAUCGUAAAACUCUGUUAUUAGGGAAGAACAAAUGUGUAAGUAACUAUGCACGUCUUGACGGUACCUAAUCAGAAAGCCACGGCUAACUACGUG